UCGCCGGAGGAGACAGGUCCGUGACGACCGAGAAAGGUUGCCAGCUGCGCGUGUUCCUUGGAUGUAUGAUCGUUCUUGCUGACGAAGCAGCACCUCCUGUUUGCCAGACGUGCAGAAGAGCCGCCAUCCCUUCUUGUCACUUUUCCUGCCCUGCAAAGUGUUUUGUGUGAGUGAGGGAUAUCGGGGCUUUAACAUAGCCGGGAGGCAACUGCUGGCAACCCAGUCUUGCAAAGAGGCCCACACAAGAGCUGAUAUCUGAAAGCAGAAAGGAGGUUGACUCCACCCCACCACCCCACCCCAGAGUCCAACAACAUGGGGAAUCUAAGGAAAAGAGCAGCUUAAUAAAACUCCUAUGCCAGGUGAGGUGGUGCCUGUCUAUAAUUCCAGUGCUCAAGAGGCUGAGGCAGGAAGAUCUCAAGUUACAACCCAGCCAGAAUGACUUAACUUUGUGUGACCCUUCAAAAGGAAAAACUAUGAAGUGUGCAAAUUAUUGGGAAUGAAGUCAAAUGACAGUGCCAGCUCAAGGCCCCAUGAGCGACAGCUUGGACCAUACUGCAGUGCUUUCUGGGGAGCCUAAGAGAAGUUCUGCAAUGAAGAGGUCAUUGUCUCUCUGCUUCCUGGCUGGAGCUAUGACCACACUCUCUGAUCCAUCCUUCUGCUGUGAUGUGCUGCCUUCACCAGAGGUCCAAACAAAUGCGGACUUCAGAUCUUGGACUUAACCAUCCUGAACCAUGAGCCAAAACAAAUCCUCUGUACUUCAUAAAGAGCUUGUAUUAGGUAUUUUACUAAAAUGAUGGAAAGCUGAACAAUACUGUGUUUCUUUUUAAAGACUGCUAAAAGCAAGUCACCAGCUCUCAGCAAAGAUUCCUAAACUUAAAAUACUAACAAUACUAAAAUUUCUGGUGCCCAAGAUGAAGUCCUAUGUGGUUGUCAUCUUGAGAACCCUCAAUAAAUACUGCAGAAAGUAAUUAUUAUUAAGGACAAG